UCUAAGCACAUGCCCUAGUACGGUGAAGCCGCGAAUAGCUCAUUACAACAGCCACCGUUUAUUAGAAUAUCGUUAUCCUACUUGGAUAACUGUGGCAAUUCUAGAGCUAAUACAUGCAAAAAAGCUCCGACCGCAAGGGAAGAGCGCAUUUAUUAGAAUAAAAACCAAUCGGGCUUCGGCCCGUUCACUUGGUGAAUCUGAAUAACUUUGCCAAUCGCACGGUCCUAGCACCGGCGAUGUAUCUUUCAAGUGUCUGACUUAUCAACUCUCAAAGGUAGGUUAUACGCCUACCAUGGUAGUAACGGGUAACGGAGAAUAAGGGUUCGACUCCGGAGAGGGAGCCUGAGAAACGGCUACCACAUCCAAGGAAGGCAGCAGGCGCGCAAAUUACCCACUUCCAGAACGGAGAGGUAGUGACGAAAAAUAACGAGACAGUCCUCUACGAGGUCUGUCAUCGGAAUGGGUACAAUUUAAAUCCUUUAACGAGGAUCUAUUGGAGGGCAAGUCUGGUGCCAG
rnacentral:rRNA from 1 species